rnacentral:rRNA from 1 species
GACAGAGGUGCCAAGCGUUAGGCGGAAUCACUGGGCUUAAAGCGUGUGUAGGCGGACCUGUAAGUGCCUUGUGAAAUCCCAUGGCUCAACCAUGGAACGGCUGGGCAUACUGCGGGUCUUGAGCUGUCUAGGGGCAACCGGAACAAACGGUGGAGCGGUGAAAUGCGUAGAUAUCGUUUGGAACGCCAAAGGUGAAAACAGGUUGCUGGGGACAUGCUGACGCUGAGACACGAAAGCCAGGGAGCGAACGGG